rnacentral:rRNA from 1 species
UGGGGAAUAUUGGACAAUGGGGGGAACCCUGAUCCAGCCAUGCCGCGUGUGUGAAGAAGGCCUUAUGGUUGUAAAGCACUUUAAGCGAGGAGGAGGGUACUGGUAUUAAUACUACCAGGUACUGGACGUUACUCGCAGAAUAAGCACCGGCUAACUCUGUGCCAGCAGCCGCGGUAAUACAGAGGGUGCGAGCGUUAAUCGGAUUUACUGGGCGUAAAGCGUGCGUAGGCGGCUAAUUGAGUCGGAUGUGAAAUCCCCGGGCUUAACUUGGGAAUUGCAUGCGAUACUGGUGAGGUAGAGUGUGGGAGAGGGUGGUAGAAUUCCGGGUGUAGAGGUGAAAUGCGUUGAGAUCUGGAGGAAUACCGAGGGCGAAGGCAGCCAUCUGGAAUAACACUGACGCUGGGGUACGAAAGCGUGGGGAGCAAACAGG